CCCUUAGAUGUUCUGGGCUGCACCCGUGCUACACUGGCAGGUUCAGCGAGCUUCAUGCCCUGAUCUGAAAGGAAUGGGAAAUCUUUUCAAAACCUGCCGUGCUUGGGAUAGAUGUUUGUAAUUAUUCAUCUUCAACGAGGAUUGCCUUGUAAGCGCACGUCAUCAGCGUGCAUUGAAUACGACCCUGUAUUCUGUACACACCGCCCGUCGCUCCUACCGAUUGAAGUUUUCGGUGAGUUGACAGGAGGAUUUUUUUGAAACUGGUUCGCCAGUGGAUUUUAGAUCCAAAUGCCAACGAAUCGAUGGCUUUAGAGGAAGGAGAAGUCGUAACA
rnacentral:rRNA from 1 species